GUGAGUUCUUGGCAGCGAGUUAAUAAAUGGCCAUCAGAAACAACGAUUCGGGCCUUAGGAGGGUCAAGAUCAGUUCCUGGCAGUUUUCCCUGAUGCAAAAGGAAGGCAAGAGUGCGUGGAGCACCAAGAGCUUUCUGUUAAAAGAUGGACUUAACCAAGUCAGUGCCUGCCUACCGACUUCUGUGCCCCAAACUCUCUGGUGGGGCUGCACUGGCUUCUCAACCUGAAUCCGGGCAACUUCAUCCAGGCUUUCUCUCUCAACUCCCACAAAGCUGUCCCAGUGCCCGAGAUACAGCGGCCACAGGAAACGAACCCAUCCAAGAUGCUUUGUGCCCGUUAUUUCAUCUGGUCCUCCUAGCAGCCCUGCAGGACACAGAAGGGCAGUGAAG